rnacentral:rRNA from 1 species
AACGAACGCUGGCGGCAUGCCUAACACAUGCAAGUCGAACGAGAUCUUCGGAUCUAGUGGCGCACGGGUGCGUAACGCGUGGGAAUCUGCCUCUUGCUUCGGAAUAACAGUUAGAAAUGACUGCUAAUACCGGAUGAUGUCUUCGGACCAAAGAUUUAUCGGCAAGAGAUGAGCCCGCGUAGGAUUAGGUAGUUGGUGGGGUAAAGCCUACCAAGCCGACGAUCCUUAGCUGGUCUGAGAGGAUGAUCAGCCACACUGGGACUGAGACACGGCCCAGACUCCUACGGGAGGCAGCAGUGGGGAAUAUUGGACAAUGGGGGCAACCCUGAUCCAGCAAUGCCGCGUGAGUGAUGAAGGCCUUAGGGUGUAAAGCUCUUUACCAGGG